CCACCGAACAGGCAAAGUCAGUGAAAACUGGCGACGCAAAGUCAUGGGUCUAAAACCAGCUAUGCUGGUCAUGAUUGCCAGAUUCCCGAA
rnacentral:ncRNA from 1 species